UUAAGAUAGAGGCGCGGGGUUCAUCAGUACCAUAUGACGACAGGCUGGGAGGCUGUCAUAUGAGAAAGGGGAUACCGCCGAAGAGAUUGUCAUCCCAAAGGCAAUUUCUGGGACGGUGCAUAAGAUGCACCGGACUGUCACGGUUGUUGUGGAGCGCUAUCGG
rnacentral:ncRNA from 1 species